GGGGAUAUAGCUCAGAUGGUAGAGCGCUCGCUUAGCAUGCGAGAGGUACGGGGAUCGAUCCGGCGCAUCUCCA
rnacentral:tRNA from 1 species